rnacentral:rRNA from 1 species
GAUGAACGCUGACAGAAUGCUUAACACAUGCAAGUCUUUGGCGAAGCUGUGCUCGCACAGCCUAGCCAAGGCGGACGGGUGAGUAACGCGUAAGGAACUUGCCCUGCAGUCAGGGAUAACAGACGGAAACGACUGAUAAGACCUGGUAAAGUCAGGCGGACUCAUGUCCAGCCUGAUGAAAAGAGAUGCUGCAGGAGAGCCUUGCGUCCUAUUAGCUUGUUGGUGGGGUAACGGCCCACCAAGGCGAUGAUAGGUAGCCGGCCUGAGAGGGUGGACGGCCACAAGGGGACUGAGAUACGGCCCUUACUCCUACGGGAGGCAGCAGUGGGGAAUAUUGGACAAUGGGGGCAACCCUGAUCCAGCAAUUCUGUGUGCACGAUGAAGGUUUUCGGAUUGUAAAGUGCUUUCAGCAGGGAAGAAAAAAAUGACGGUACCUGCAGAAGAAGCGACGGCUAAAUACG